GUGGUGCGCAGGCAACGGUUACUUCCCACUUCUCAUGGGCUGGUCGCGGGUUCGAAUCCCGCCGCUGCCA
rnacentral:tRNA from 1 species